GGGAAAUGAUAGGGAUUUUGAUUUGGAAAUUUCCUCUUAGGGUUGGCUAGGUUAAGUAGGGAAACAAAUGAGCUUUGGGGACUCAUUCUUGGUGGCUGGCCGAUGAGAGAGAGAGAGAGAGAGCACAAGAAAGAGAAAAAGAAAGAGAGAAAGAAAGAAAGAAUGAGAAGGAGAAGAAGAGUAGAGUUUCGAAAAUCCAUAGGGUGCCAGAGGAUUGAUUAGCUUUUGUGUUCUUGAACACUACCAAGGAGGCUCGUUGUGAAGCUAUCUCGCAUUCUAUAGCUUGGACUUGAGGUAAGCAAGGUAGCUAGAUUUAUUACGCGAUUAUAUUGAACUGUUUAAUGUUCAAGUUAUGAGAUGAGUUGUUAUGUAUGUAUGUGUUGCAUGAUUGUAUAAAAAGCAGAGUGUUGUUAGCAUGCUGAAACGCGACACAACAAAAGAGUUACUAAGGUAUGACAUAACUCAUAGGGCGAACGCACCAAGAGGCCCACGAGGGCAAGAGGAGGAUGUACCAGGUUAUUGUUUACUGGUUACCUCAUAGAACUGUUUGCUUGAUUUAUUAUGAUGAAUUUUCAGAUAAAGUGUAUGAAAUUAUGAAAUGUCUAUGUUAUGACAUUAUAAGUUUAUGUACGAUGAGAAUAGUUUUGUAUUGUACUUAUGUGAAUUAUUAUUCUUGUUUGUACUUGGUGGACUUUUAGCUCACCCCUUUACU